UACAGAGGUCUCAAGCGUUGUUCGGAUUCAUUGGGCGUAAAGGGUGUGUAGGUGGCGCCGUAAGUCGGGUGUGAAAUUUCGGGAGCUUAACUCCGAAACUGCAUUCGAUACUGCGGUGCUUGAGGGACUGGAGAGGAGACUGGAAUUCAUGGUGUAGCAGUGAAAUGCGUAGAGAUCAUGAGGAAGACCAGUGGCGAAGGCGGGUCUCUGGACAGUUCCUGACACUGAGACACGAAGGCCAGGGGAGCAAACGGG
rnacentral:rRNA from 1 species